rnacentral:ribozyme from 12 species
CGCCCAAACAAAAAACACAAAAACAAACAGUAAAACAAAACCAAAAAAGACAAAAAUCGAAGGAACUACAUGAGAUCCCAUUAUUUUCCUUCUCGAAACCGUCGCGAAAUAAUUUCCAAUGCACCGCCUUUUUUUUUUUUUUCUCUCUCUC